AAUUUCCACUUAGCAGUUUGGGUUUGGAAGAGUAGAGGGGAUCACUUGCACCUGUAGGGAGCCUGAUGAGGUCACUAGCUCAGUGCUG